rnacentral:rRNA from 1 species
AUACGUAGGGUGCAAGCGUUAAUCGGAAUUACUGGGCGUAAAGCGUGCGCAGGCGGUUUGGCAAGAAGGAUGUGAAAUCCCGGGGCUUAACCUCGGAACUGCAUUCUUAACUGCCAGGCUAGAGUAUGUCAGAGGGGGGUAGAAUUCCGCGUGUAGCAGUGAAAUGCGUAGAGAUGCGGAGGAAUACCGAUGGCGAAGGCAGCCCCCUGGGAUAAUACUGACGCUCAGGCACGAAAGCGUGGGGAGCAAACAGGAUUAGAUACCCUGGUAGUCCACGCCCUAAACGAUGUCAACUAGCUGUUGGGGCCUUCGGGCCUUAGUAGCGCAGCUAACGCGUGAAGUGGACCGCCUGGGGAGUACGGUCGCAAGAUUAAA